rnacentral:tmRNA from 1 species
GGGGGUGUCUUAGAUUCGAUUGGGUUAUCGAGAUAAGGUGCAAGCAUACCGAAGGCACGACUUCGUAAAAACGGAACUUAAAUUUUAACUGACAAUAAUCAGCAGUUAUUAGCCGCUUAAAUUCGGCUACGUCCUUACCGGUUUUUCCCGUCGGACGGGAUAAGGGCGUCAAACAGGCGGGGAACGGUCUUAAAAAAGCGGUUGCGGUUUUAAGACGGAAUUAAGCGACCACGGAUAAAAUGAGCGUCGCCGACGACGGCGUUUUAUCUUAAAUCAAACGUCGGAUAAGUAUGUAGAAAACCUUAUCGAAAUAUUCAAGACCGGAGUGCAAAUCUCCGCACCUCCACCA